rnacentral:sRNA from 1 species
GGAACGGAGAAACCAGUCCCCGAACCAAAAUCACGUGGAUGAAAGCGGAAGACUCAUCUAAAGUUAGUGGUGGAACACCUAUCAAAAUUGAAGAUCCAAAUCAGUUUGUUCCUUUAAACACAAACCCGAACGAGAUUCGGGAACAAAAUCGAUAUGACUUGAAAACAGCAGGACCACAAUCUCAGUUGCUUGCUGGAAUUGUUGUGGAUAAGCCACCUCCUACUAUGCAAUUUGAAGAUGAUGAUCAUGGCC